AUUGAACGCUGGCGGCAAGCCUAACACAUGCAAGUCGAACGAGUGGCGGACGGGUGAGUAAUGUCUGGGAAACUGCCUGAUGGAGGGGGAUAACUACUGGAAACGGUAGCUAAUACCGCAUACCAUCGGAUGUGCCCAGAUGGGAUUAGCUAGUAGGUGGGGUAAAGGCUCAACUAGGCGACGAUCCCUAGCUGGUCUGAGAGGUGGACAAGCCACACUGGAACUGAUAAACGGGCCAGACUGCUAUGGGAGGCAGCAGUGGGGAAUAGGGCACAAUGGGCGCAAGCAUGAUGCAUCCAUGCCGCGUGGAUGAAGAAGGCCUGCGUGUUGUAAAGUAAUUGCAGCGGGGAGGCGUUACCCGCAGAAGAAGCACCGGCUAACUCCGUGCCAGCAGCCGCGGUAAGUC
rnacentral:rRNA from 1 species